rnacentral:rRNA from 1 species
UACGUAGGGUGCAAGCGUUGUCCGGAAUUAUUGGGCGUAAAGAGCUCGUAGACGGUCUGUCGCGUCGGCUGUGAAAACUCGGGACUCAACCCCGAGCCUGCAGUCGAUACAGGCAGACUAGAGUCCGACAAAAGAGACUGGAAUUCCUGGUGUAGCAGUGAAAUGCGCAGAUAUCAAGAGGAACACCGGUGACGAAGGCAAGUCUCUGGGCCAGAACUGACGCUGAGGAGCGAAAGCGUGGGAAGCGAACAGG